rnacentral:tRNA from 1 species
AAGAACCUACCGAAAGGUGAUGUACACUCAGACGAUCUGCAAACAAUGCUGAUUAAGUCUGCUGAAUCAAUGAUCG